rnacentral:sRNA from 1 species
GCACGUCCUGACGCAGCUUGGGCCCGCGGCAGCGGCAAGGGCGGGAGGGAGCGGUCGCCGCGGGAUUUGGAGCUGCCUAGCCUCGCGGUCGCUUCAAGAGAUGGUUCCGUUGCUUUGGGGUGAACUUGGUACCAGUGCCGUGUUACUUAUCCAGUUCUAACUCAAGAAAGUUCUAGAGGGCAUAAUGAUCUUAGAUAAGACCAAGGCCCCGAACCUGACCAUGUUCUGUCUUCUCUCUUUGGUAGCAUGUAAGCAGCUGUUUGCCAAGAACCCAGGUCACUGCUAAGAAAGGGUGCCUUCGGGAGAAGAGUGUCCAGAGGAAACCAAUGCCAGAUGCAUCUGGAGUUACACUCAGCACUCGCAGUAUGAGACAUUGUGUGCCAGCAUCUCUUUCCUUCUGGCAAAGACUGUAGCUCUCCAGGUAGGAGGAUCCUGGAAGCUGUGAGCACCAGGAGCCUUGCCAGAGGAGGAUGGGGCCAGAUAUGAACUCUCUACCAUGAACAUGGUUCUCGGCUUAUGAAGGAAUUUUAAGUAAAACAAUUAUUUAAUUUCCACAUAUUCAAGUCAAAAGCCUUCUGUGUGAAGUGCCAGUGAUUACCCCUCCACAGGAGUUAUCAGGAUUUUUCUGGCACCAAGUUUAAUUCUUCUUGGUACUUCUGGUAGUGACAGAUCUGCAGGACAGAUUUAUCUGUUGAAUGCUCUUGGGCAGGAAAACCAUGUAAAACCUCUGGAAGCAGCAUCAGGACAGCAGAGCAGAGCCCCCGUCCUCACUGCUCACUUGCACAGAAACUCUAUCUGGACUCGGAUGCUUUUACUGAAGACCCAUCUAGCUUCAGUCAUCUUUAGAGUCCAUCCGUUCUGAGGAGACCU